AAUAGUGAGAUAAAUAAAUAGUGAAGCAUUAGAUUAGUUAGUUAGUUUAAAAUUUAAAAUUUAAAUUUAAAUCAGCAUAAUUUUAUCUGAUUAGUUAGAUAUUUAUUUUUAAAUUUAAACCUAUUAUACGAUAUGUUAUAUACGUAUAUACUCUAGAACCCUAGCAGCCAGAUAGUAUCGUAUUCCUUUAUUCUCACCAUCUCUCAAUUUCCUUUUUUUUAUUCUCUCUAUUGAACCAAAUCAAUUGUUUUAAUCUUAAGAGCUUCGGGGUUAGCAAUCAACCGAUCAUCGUUCCGUGUCUUCGAAAUCUUCAGGUAAAAUUCGUACUUGUUUUUAUUUUCGUUUUCAGAGAAAUAGGCUUUCAUAAAACUAUCAUAUCUCUCUCCCCAUAGGUCCGUUUUCAGUGAUCUAGGUACCGUUUUAAAGAUAAUUUAAUGAUCUAUAUUUUUUAUGAAGAAACUCUUUCCUAAUUCUGAGUAUUUCGAUGUCAAAAAUUCAUGUUUUACAGACUGUCGAUUUACAGUUUUUUUUAAAAAUUUCUUUCCGAUAUUACCUUAGUAAAAGUGUGAUAUCUCUCUCGAUAUCUAUUAUUUUACAGCGAUUCUUGUACUGUUAGAAAGAUAAUUCAAUAAUUUAUAUUUUCUUUGAAGAAACCUUUCCCUAGUUCGGAGUUCUUACCAGUCAAAAGUUAGGAUCUUUACUCGGUUAUGGUAUUUCGUUUUAAGUUUUGUUUCAGAAAAAGUGUCUUCAGUAAAAAUUCAAUAUCUCUCUCAAUUUUGAUCCAUUUUAAAAGAUCUUUAUCUCGUUUUAAAGCUUAGGAAAAUAGCUACAUUUUUUAUGAAGAAAGUAUUGUCUAGAUCAGGGUGUAACUAUUUUUAAAACAUUUAUUUUUAGGCUGUAUUCAGAAAUCAGCGUGAUCCAGAAUUUCAAAGAAACUGUUUUGAGAAAACAUGCAUAACUCCUAGAUUAUAGCUCCGAUUUUGAUGAUCUUUAUACCGUUAGAAAGGUCUUUCAAUUAACUAAAAACUUUGUGAACAGUAGGACUUCUAAUUCAAACGUUUUAUAUGUCAAAUUCUAGGUUAAACUUGCUGUACAGUAAGAGUAAUAAAUAUAUUGAGUUUAUCGGUGGACUAAGGGUUUCACUAAUUGUUAUAGGGCCUAGAAGGUAUCGUAAGAGUUAAUUACAGCGGAGUUGAGGUAAGGAAAAAUAAUUAUACUUUAUACUUGCUUUUUAUAUGGUUUGAGUAUCUAGUAUGACUGCUUGAAUAAAUUGUAUUGAAACUGUGGAAUGUGAUAGUUUCGGUGAAAUAGUGUUUUAUCGAUGAAUUGUAUAUGGAUGUUUAAUCAUGUUCCAGGUACUUGGAAGUGGUUGGAAACCACACAUGUAUGGUGAUGUGGUAAGUGAGGCAGUGUACGUAAGAGUGCACUGGUUAUUGGUACUGCGUUCUGGUUAAGAACGUAAGACACUCCAGAUUUGUAUGGAAGCUGGAGUGUGAUUGUGAGUGUGAGUGUGUGGUAUUUCAGUAUUUGUGUGGCUGCCUCUAUUUAUACUUAUGAUUAGGUUGUUGUAUGUUUGAUGUAUAUGUUUGUGCUAUGAUGUGUGAAUGCUGGUACAUAGUAAGGAAAAAUAAUUAUACUUUAUACUUGCUUUUUAUAUGGUUUGAGUAUCUAGUAUGACUGCUUGAAUAAAUUGUAUUGAAACUGUGGAAUGUGAUAGUUUCGGUGAAAUAGUGUUUUAUCGAUGAAUUGUAUAUGGAUGUUUAAUCAUGUUCCAGGUACUUGGAAGUGGUUGGAAACCACACAUGUAUGGUGAUGUGGUAAGUGAGGCAGUGUACGUAAGAGUGCACUGGUUAUUGGUACUGCGUUCUGGUUAAGAACGUAAGACACUCCAGAUUUGUAUGGAAGCUGGAGUGUGAUUGUGAGUGUGAGUGUGUGGUAUUUCAGUAUUUGUGUGGCUGCCUCUAUUUAUACUUAUGAUUAGGUUGUUGUAUGUUUGAUGUAUAUGUUUGUGCUAUGAUGUGUGAAUGCUGGUACAUAGUAUUGUGUUUUUCCUUACUGGGCUUUGCAGCUCACCCCUUAUUUACCCCCUAUG